GACACAGAUUUCUGCUUUUGUGAUCUGGGUUUUUCAUACAUAAGAGGUUCCGUAUCUUAAAUAAGCUUUCUGCUAGUUCCUGGAAGUGAAAACCGAGGAAAAGAGAAGGGAAAACUGAAGUAAAUUGGAUGUUGAAUGUUUUGUGUUAAUGUUGGUAUUUGAGAUUUGUCUAUUAUUUAGGUUCGCUUUGCUUUUAUAGCAGUGAUCUUGGUUUUAGGAAGUUUUGGAUUUAGAUAUGCGAUGGAGAUCCGUAGAUCUUGACUGUUUACAGCUUCUAUAUGCAGUUUUUAUGUUUAAAUUGCCCGUUGUAUGAGUAGUUCGACAUUGAGUUGGGAGUGAAGAGAAAGUAUUCAAGUUUUUCCUUUGGGUUAGUUCAAUCUUUGGUAAUUGUUGAGGGAAAGGAAGGGCAUCAUCAUUGUGCUGCCCAUGCACUGAAUCCGUUAGUAACUAUUUGUGAAUCAUACAUACUGUAAAAUCAGGAUUACCCUUUAGUUUAACCUAUACAUUGGUGGCCGGAGAAAUGCCAAGGCAUUUUAGAUUCAUAGAUUUGAUUUGGACUGAUUGAUGGUGGAAUUUCUGAAUUUGAUUUUGGGUAAUGCUCAAGGAGUUUUCUGUCACUUUGCUCCUAAAAUUAUUGUGAAAAGUAGGAUACAGUUAGGCUUCCCAAGAAAUAUGUAGUUGUGCAAAUCCUGUAGUUUUUUCCCACAUUUUUUUUUAAACGGAAGGGGGAGGAGGAGAGGGGGAGGUAGUGGAUAUUGGGAUUUGAAUUCUUUACCUCUUGUAAUAUGAUGGUAAGCCCUUGACCGUUGGACUAUGGUUCCAAUGCUUAAAUUAACAACAUUAUCAUUAGCUUGUCCUUCAUUUUCCUUCUGUCCUACCCCCAACCUCUCCCCUCUUUCUCUCUAAAAAUGUACUUAACAACAUAUACCAUAUAAUGUGUAAAUUAUAAUAUGUAAAUUAGCAAUGGGUAGUAAUAAUAAACCAUGAAGCUGGGGAGAAUCAUUUAUGUCCUGAUCCCUACUCCAAUUGCUGAUGUGUAUGUAUGUUAAAUCACGUUAUGAUGGAGUAAACCAUAUGCUUUAUUGACAAUUUGAUGCGCUAGGUCCUGCAUAGUAAUCAGCAACCAGUAGAAUGGUGGUGCUUUUUUAUUAAUCUCAUCUCAUCCUCCAAUACAUAUUACUUUUUAUCUCUGAUUGAAAUUAAUCUAUGUAGAUAACCAAUACAGAUUAAUUUAUCGGUUAAAAUUCCUUUUCUCUUUAUCAGUUUUAUUAAUAUUUUAUUUUCAUUAUGCGGGCUUAAAUUUAAUAAUUUUAUGGCGUACCUCUGACAGUCAUAAGAAUAACUUUAUCUUUCACUUUUUAGAACGUAUUCCUAUACAUCGGAUUGAAAUUUCAACCCAUCACUUUUGACAUAAAUGUAAUUUCAUUGCCCCAAGGAGUUAUUCAUGCUCUUGAG
rnacentral:misc_RNA from 1 species